rnacentral:rRNA from 1 species
CCUACGGGGGGCUGCAGUGGGGAAUAUUGGACAAUGGGGGCAACCCUGAUCCAGCCAUGCCGCGUGUGUGAAGAAGGCCCUCGGGUUGUAAAGCACUUUCAGUGAGGAAGAACGCCUGGUGGUUAAUACCCAUCAGGAAAGACAUCACUCACAGAAGAAGCACCGGCUAACUCCGUGCCAGCAGCCGCGGUAAUACGGAGGGUGCGAGCGUUAAUCGGAAUUACUGGGCGUAAAGCGCGCGUAGGUGGCUUGAUAAGCCGGUUGUGAAAGCCCCGGGCGCAACCUGGGAACGGCAUCCGGAACUGUCAAGCUAGAGUGCAGGAGAGGAAGGUAGAAUUCCCGGUGUAGCGGUGAAAUGCGUAGAGAUCGGGAGGAAUACCAGUGGCGAAGGCGGCCUUCUGGACUGACACUGACACUGAGGUGCGAAAGCGUGGGUAGCAAACAGGAUUAGAUACCCCAGUAGUC